rnacentral:rRNA from 1 species
CAGGUCUUGACAUCCCUCUGACCGGUCUAGAGAUAGGCCUUUCCUUCGGGACAGAGGAGACAGGUGGUGCAUGGUUGUCGUCAGCUCGUGUCGUGAGAUGUUGGGUUAAGUCCCGCAACGAGCGCAACCCUUAUGCUUAGUUGCCAGCAGGUCAAGCUGGGCACUCUAAGCAGACUGCCGGUGACAAACCGGAGGAAGGUGGGGAUGACGUCAAAUCAUCAUGCCCCUUAUGACCUGGGCUACACACGUACUACAAUGGCCGGUACAACGGGAAGCGAAAUCGCGAGGUGGAGCCAAUCCUAGAAAAGCCGGUCUCAGUUCGGAUUGUAGGCUGCAACUCGCCUACA